rnacentral:rRNA from 1 species
AGAUUGAACGCUGGCGGCACGCCUUACACAUGCAAGUCGAACGGCAGCACGGGAGCAAUCCUGGUGGCGAGUGGCGAACGGGUGAGUAAUAUAUCGGAACGUGCCCAGUCGUGGGGGAUAACGUAGAGAAAUUUACGCUAAUACCGCAUACGAUCCAAGGAUGAAA